rfam:Acidobacteria bacterium RIFCSPLOWO2_02_FTLL_60_20 rifcsplowo2_02_scaffold_50416, whole genome shotgun sequence.
CCCACGGCUCACGCCGUGGGCUAGUAUCUUGCGCCCCUCCGAGGCU